CACAGAGUGCCCUUGUCUGAUGGCAAUGUUGGAAGAAACUGUCUUUACAUUGAAUAGAAGACCAAGCUCCAGCUGUGAGUGCCAAGCCAGCUCCUGGAUGUCAGUGGCUGUCUUUCUCAGGGAGGAGAGAAUGGGUGAGGAAGCUGAACUGACUUUGGUGACAUAUAUUCCCCAAGAUCUGACAGCUGAUGAGUGACAGAGCACGUAUUCAAACCCAGGUCUGUACGGCUCUAGUCUCCUUGUUCUUUCUUAGACAUUGCACUAACUACUUCUGGAGAGAAUCAGAACGUAGAUAAAGGAUUGUGAGAUUUAGCAAAUAAAAAUACAGGAAGCCAAGUUAAAUUUGAAGUUCAGACAAAUAACAAAAAUGUAGUAUAAAUAUGUGUCAUGCAAUAUUUGGGACAUACUUAUACUGAAAAAUGCCAAUUGUUUAUCUGAAAUUCAAAUUUAAUUGAGUGUUCUAUAUUUUUAAAUCUCACACAGACACUAGCCAAAUUUCUUGGGGUUGGAGAAUAAUGUGGGAUAUUGGGAUAAAAAUUGGAUUUUGUUGGCUGAUGUCUACUACUUGCCCUGUUCUCUGCAGUUUUUUUUUUUUUUUUUUUUUGCAAAGAGAAUAACACAUAUAAAGAACAAUAGCAAAAUGGAAAAAAUAUUAUACUGUUUAUUGAAAGUGGAACAGGCAUCCUAUAUUCUCACCAUUCUCCCCACCUCCCCACUUCCCUCUUUGAACCAAAAAAAAAAAAAAAAAAAAAAUUAAAACAGAGCUUCACAUUCUCCCUGAAUUGGAGAACAAAGCUCAAGACUGAGGUAUAAAGGGCUCCUGCAUUCUUCCUGUUUUCAAAUCUUGGGACCCUUAAUAAGCCACUCUUGCAAGUAGGAGGGAAGUGGGCUUUAGGCCGGGUCAGAGGGAAGAGGGCUGGCUGGGACUGAAUGGGUACUGAGCCCCUAAUAUACCUGUGCCCCACUGGAGAGAUGCCAGCUGUCCUAGCCCCAAGAGGCAAGUCUUGCACAGGUGACUUUGACAGAGGGAGGUAGAAAGCAGAAUAGCUUUUCUGACACUUGGUGGCCCUGAUCCCUCCAUUGGCCAACCAUAUUCCUGUAAAGGUCUUGAUAUCUGACCAAACUGGCCAUUUUUCUUUCUUUGGAGUAGCUGGGGUAAGAAAAGGAAGGUAGAUGGGUAGAAUAGGGGAAGAAUAUAGGGUAUUGGGUAGAACAGGUGGCAUUUCUCUCUGUAAAACUUGCCACAUCUUAUCUGGUAAUAAAGUUAAUCUCUUACAACAGCAUCAUUUUUUACACUUUACAAAAUACCUUCACUUUAUCCUGUAAAUUGGCUAUUGAUUUGUACUUAAAAUAAAUUAGUCUCUAAUGUGGCAACUUUCCCACCAACACUUUAAAAUGCUUGCCUUCUGGAAUUAGCACCCUGUUAACCUGACCGUCUCUAAAUGUUUUCUAUCUUCAAAAAUGAUAAUUGAAUACCAUUGCCAGCCAUAAUUAUUUAGACAGCACUUUGCACAUUAAUAUCUACUCAAUUAUCAUUCCCUGCAGCUAUAAUCUUAACCCAAAAUAAAGCUUUAAAAGUUGUAUUUUCUCUCUCUUUAAAAUUGGUUCUUUUUGUUGUUGUUCUUUCCUAAUUUUCACCUUUCUUUACUCCAAGUGAAUUCUUUAAAAUCUGAGAGGGAAUUUGGUAAGACCUUCCCCUAGCCUUCAUGGAAUGGAGUGGUUCAUUUCCAAAAGCAUGAGUGAAAUGGAGAUCACUACAUAUAUUAAAGACAUAUGCACAAUGCAGCUUUGAGAAUGAGAAUUCUUGGAAGGAAGGGGUGAAGGCUUUCCUUCCACCAAGAUCAGAACUUGCUCUCUCACCUUGAUAUGGUUUGACUGUGUCCCCACCCAAAUCCUCAUCUUGAAUUGUAGCUCCCAUAAUCCCCACAUGUUGUGGGAGGGACCCAGUGGAAGGUAAUUGAAUCACGGAGGCCAGUUGUUCCCAUGCUGUUCUCAUGAUGGUGACUAAGUCUCAUGAGAUCUGAUGGUUUUAUAAAGGGCAGCUCCCCUGUACAGGCUCUCUUGCUUGCGACCGUGUAAGAUGUGACUUUGCUCCUCCUUUACCUUCUGCCAUGAUUGUGAGGCCUCCCCAGUCAUAUGAAACUAUGAGUCUAUUAAACCUCUUUUUCUUUCUAAAUUACACAGUCUCAGGUAUGUCUUUAUUAGCAGC
rnacentral:lncRNA from 1 species